rnacentral:rRNA from 1 species
UACAGAGGUCCCGAGCGUUGUUCGGAUUCACUGGGCGUAAAGGGUGCGUAGGUGGUGGCGCAAGUUUGAUGUGAAAUCUCCGGGCUUAACCUGGAAAUGGCAUUGAAUACUGCGUUGCUUGAGGUUUGGAGGGGGGACGUGGAAUUCUCGGUGUAGCGGUGAAAUGCGCAGAUAUCAGGAGGAACACCGGUGGCGAAGGCGGGUCUCUGGGCCGAUACUGACGCUGAGGAGCGAAAGCGUGGGGAGCGAACAGG